AUGGGUCCUUCACCAGAUGCAAUAGUGUCACGGGCGAGCUUUAAGAGAAACGGGCCAAGAUCCGGGUUAUCCAACGAAGGGUCCGAGAGGAGAGAGUUCGGGUUUGGAGAAUCCGGUGGAGGCUUUUUAGUGGAGCGGGCAGGGGAAGGUUUGGAUCGGGAAGGAGAAGGAGAUGGGGGUUUUUUGGGAGUCGGGGUUCUGGGUGGUGGCUGUUGUUCGGGUCGGGUUGAGGAUCCGGGUAGGAUCUCAGGGACAGAAAUGUGAAGUGGUGGUGCAUCUGGCGGGGUUUUAACAGAGACAAGACCUGGCAUGGUUGUC
rnacentral:lncRNA from 1 species